rnacentral:rRNA from 1 species
GACGAACGCUGGCGGCGUGCUUAACACAUGCAAGUCGAACGGAAAGGCCUCUUUCGGGGGGUACUCGCGUGGCGAACGGGUGAGUAACACGUGAGUAACCUGCCCUUGUCUUUGGGAUAACUUAAGUAAACUAGGGCUAAUACCGGAUAGGAGCUACUGCUGCAUGGUGGGGGUUGGAAAGUUUCGGCGGUUGGGGAUGGACUCGCGGCGUAUCAGCUUGUUGGUGGGGUAGUGGCUUACCAAGGCUUUGACGGGUAGACGGCCUGUGAGGGUGACCGGCCACAUUGGGACUGAGAUACGGCCCAGACUCCUACGGGAGGCAGCAGUGGGGAAUAUUGCACAAUGGGUGGAAGCCGGAUGCAGCAACGCCGUGUGCGGGAUGACGGCCUUCUGGUUGUAAACCGCUUGCGCUCAUGACGAAGCUUUGUGUGACGGUAGUGGGUAAAGAAGCACCGGCUAACUACGUG